rnacentral:misc_RNA from 1 species
UACGUAGGUGGCGAGCGUUGUCCGGAUUUAUUGGGUUUAAAGGGUGCGUAGGCGGCCUGAUAAGUCAGUGCUGAAAUAUCCCGGCUUAACCGGGAAGGUGGCAUUGAUACUGUUGGGCUUGAGUGGAGUCGAGGUAGGCGGAAUUGACGGUGUAGCGGUGAAAUGCUUAGAUAUCGUCAAGAACACCGAUAGUGUAGACAGCUUACUAGGUUUCAACUGACGCUGAGGCACGAAAGUGUGGGGAUCAAACAGG